AACGAACGCUGGCGGCAUGCCUAACACAUGCAAGUCGAACGAAGCCUUCGGGCUUAGUGGCGCACGGGUGCGUAACGCGUGGGAAUCUGCCCCUUGCUUCGGAAUAACAGUUAGGAAUGACUGCUAAUACCGGAUGAUGUCUUCGGACCAAAGAUUUAUCGGCAAGGGAUGAGCCCGCGUAGGAUUAGGUAGUUGGUGGGGUAAAGGCCUACCAAGCCGACGAUCCUUAGCUGGUCUGAGAGGAUGAUCAGCCACACUGGGACUGAGACACGGCCCAGACUCCUACGGGAGGCAGCAGUGGGGAAUAUUGGACAAUGGGGGGAACCCUGAUCCAGCAAUGCCGCGUGAGUGAUGAAGGCCUUAGGGUUGUAAAGCUCUUUUACCAGGGAUGAUAAUGACAGUACCUGGAGAAUAAGCUCCGGCUAACUCCGUGCCAGCAGCCGCGGUAAAAC
rnacentral:rRNA from 1 species